AUUGAACGCUGGCGGCAGGCCUAACACAUGCAAGUCGAGCGAGCGGCGGACGGGUGAGUAAUGUAUGGGGACUGCCCGAUAGAGGGGGAUAACUACUGGAAACGGUUGCUAAUACCGCAUACUAUCGGCUACCCCAUAUGUGCUUUGCUAGUAGGUGGGGUAAAGGCUCACCUAGGCGACGAGCUCUAGCUGGUCUGAGAGGAUGCUCAGCCACACUGGAACUGAGACACGGACCAGACUCCUGCGGAGGCAGCAGUGGGGAAUAGUGCACAAUGGGCGCAAGCCUGAUGCAGCCAUGCCGCGUGUAUGAAGAAGGCCUUAGGGUUGUAAAGUACUUUCAGCGGGGAGGCGUUACCCGCAGAAGAAGCACCGGCUAACUCCGUGCCAGCCGCCGCGGUAAUUC
rnacentral:rRNA from 1 species